UACGUAGGGUGCAAGCGUUAAUCGGAAUUACUGGGCGUAAAGCGUGCGCAGGCGGUGAUGUAAGACAGUUGUGAAAUCCCCGGGCUCAACCUGGGAACUGCAUCUGUGACUGCAUUGCUGGAGUGCGGCAGAGGGGGAUGGAAUUCCGCGUGUAGCAGUGAAAUGCGUAGAUAUGUGGAGGAACACCGAUGGCGAAGGCAGCCCCCUGGGCUGAGAUUGACGCUCAGGCACGAAAGCGUGGGGAGCAAACAGG
rnacentral:rRNA from 1 species